CUCUCUCUCUCUCUCUCUCUCUGAGUUUUUGCGUCUCAAAUUAACGCAACUAGAUCUUGACCUUUCCGCUUCUUCUCUAUUGCCUCUCCUUCAAAAGCAAUCUUCUUCUACUUCUUCUUUCUUCUUCUGUGUGUUUUCCAUUGAUCUUAUUGAUCUGUCUCAUUCACCCAUGUCCUUUUUCUCGUGCUGUGUCAUUUAUUUAUGGUGGUUUUUGGUUCAGGACGCCACCGGAAAAAUCUGACCCACAAGCUCAAACACCAAGAAUUACCAAAAGGAAAAGUAGUUGGGAGUUUUUGUUUUUUUGGUUUUUUGGUUUUUUGUGGGUAUCUCAGCCAACUAUUCUGCCCGUGCGGAUUAGAUUAUUUAACCAAUAAUAAAACUGCUUAAAAAAAACUUUACCUUCAGUUCAUCCUUUCUCUUCGCGGUUUUCAUAUUUUUCUAUUAGGGUUCCAUCUGCUCGUCGUGCUUCCGUUUCACACCAUUGAUUGUGUGCCACGUCAACACAAAGAAUCGAAGGAGCUAUUAUGAAAUAGAGGUUAUUGAAGUGCGAAGAAGAAAGGAUCAUGUGCUGCAAAAAGUUUUUGACAUGGAUUUGAGGAAGAAUGGAUUUUCAAAAAUCUCGAGGAAAGAAGAAGACAAAGAGAUCUCUUUCUCUCUCUCUUUUGCCGGCCAGUUAUAAUUCCAAGGAUGAGGAAGAUCCAAUUAACGAGCUUACCUUAUUGGAGAAAUGGGAAAGGGCCUCUUCAGCUUAAUUUGGUGACAUUCCAUUAGUUAGGUCUUGACUCUUUGCAUGUGUGUGUGUGUGUGAUAUUCAUUAAUUCUCGUCACAUCCAGAUUUAUCAGUAAUGGCUGAUCUCUGAUCUUUUUGGUACGUUGGAAGUUUGUUGGAAGUUUUU